UUGAACGCUGGCGGCAGGCCUAACCCAUGCAAGUCGAACGGUAACAGGAAGAAGCUUGCUUCUUUGCUGAAGAGUGGCGGACGGGUGAGUAAUGUCUGGGAAACUGCCUGAUGGAGGGGGAUAACUACUGGAAACGGUAGCUAAUACCGCAUAACGUCGCAAGACCAAAAAGGGGGACCUUCGGGCCUCUUGCCUUCGGAUGUGCCCAGAUGGGAUUAGCUAGUAGGUGGGGUAACGGCUCACCUAGGCGACGAUCCCUAGCUGGUCUGAGAGGAUGACCAGCCACACUGGAACUGAGACACGGUCCAGACUCCUACGGGAGGCAGCAGUGGGGAAUAUUGCACAAUGGGCGCAAGCCUGAUGCAGCCAUGCCGCGUGUAUGAAGAAGGCCUUCGGGUUGUAAAGUACUUUCAGCGGGGAGGAAGGGAGUAAAGUUAAUACCUUUGCUCAUUGACGUUACCCGCAGAAGAAGCACCGGCUAACUCCGUG
rnacentral:rRNA from 1 species